rnacentral:rRNA from 1 species
CUACGGGUUGCUCCAGUGAGGAAUUUUGCGCAAUGGGGGAAACCCUGACGCAGCAACGCCGCGUGAGUGAUGAAGGCCUUCGGGUCGUAAAACUCUGUCAAGUGGGAAGAACCUAUGUAAGGUUAAUACCCUUAUGUACUGACGGUACCACUGAAGGAAGCACCGGCUAGCUCCGUGCCAGCAGCCGCGGUAAUACGGGGGGUGCAAGCGUUAUUCGGAAUUAUUGGGCGUAAAGGGCGCGCAGGCGGUUUUGUAAGUCAGAUGUGAAAGCCCGGGGCUUAACCUCGGAAGUGCAUUUGAUACUGCAAGACUUGAGUAUGGGAGGGGGAAGUGGAAUUCCUGGUGUAGAGGUGAAAUUCGUAGAUAUCAGGAGGAACACCAGUGGCGAAGGCGACUUCCUGGACCAAUACUGACGCUGAGGCGCGAAGGCGUGGGGAGCAAACAGGAUUAGAUACCCCCGUAGUC